rnacentral:rRNA from 1 species
GUAGGGGGCGAGCGUUGUCCGGAUUUAUUGGGCGUAAAGAGCUCGUAGGCGGCUCAGCAAGUCGGCCGUGAAAGCCUGAGGCUCAACCUCAGGACGCCGGUCGAAGCUGCUGUGGCUAGGGUUCGGUAGAGGAGAGUGGAAUUCCCGGUGUAGCGGUGAAAUGCGCAGAUAUCGGGAGGAACACCAGUAGCGAAGGCGGCUCUCUGGGCCGAUACCGACGCUGAGGAGCGAAAGCUAAAAAAACGAACAGGGAUUAGAUACCCUGGUAGUCCUAGCUGUAAACGUUGGGCACUAGGUGUGGCGGACUCAUUGACGUCUGCCGUGCCGAAGCUAACGCAUUAAGUGCCCCCGCCCUGGGAGUACGGUCGCAAGGCUA